UUCCAGGAAAUUCAUGGAUAUGGAAGGUAAAAUACCGUUUAAAAUGUCUUUGACGCAAUAUGGGGUUGGAUGAACUUUCCGGUUGAAACGACCACUAAUCCUUAAAUUGAUGACUUUUAGUGUCUCUCCUGGAAGAAAAUAAAAGUGAGCAACCUCAAAGAUCAUGAUGUAAAGGCACAAAAUAGGUGAUGAGAGGUAGGGAGUUGAACGAGGACACUAAAUAGAAGAGUAUUAGUAUUGGGAAUGCAGCACCCUGUCUGAUUGAUGUACAUUUUAAUUAUUUUAUUGUAUUGUACUUGAUAGAUCUCAAAUAAACGAUGAAAAUUCC